GUCGGGUGUAGUGGUGUGCGCCUGUAAUCCCAGCUACUUGGGAGGCUGAGGCAGGAGAAUCGCUUGAACCUGGGAGGCGGAGGUUGCAGUGAGCCGAGAUCGUGCCAUUGCACUCCAGCCUGGGUGACAGAGUGAAACUCCGUCUCAAAAAAAAAAAUUAAUAAGUAAAAGAAGAUGGAAAGUGACAAUGAAGUUUAUUAUAUUAAUAUUCUUUAAAAGCAACUUUUUUUUUUUUUAAGACAGAGUCUCACUCUGUCACUCAGGCUGGAGUGCAGUGGCGCAAUCUCAGCUCACUGCAAACUCUGCUUCCCAGGUUAAAGCAAUUCUCCUGCCUCAG
rnacentral:SRP_RNA from 1 species